rnacentral:rRNA from 1 species
GAUUUCUGGCUUGAAACAUCUUGUCGGCCGCGGUUUCGCGUGUUAGUGCAAGAUGGUCUGGCCAUCCUUCCAAUCGCUGCUCACCUCUCUUCAUUGAUUGGUGUGUGGUAUUGGAUCUUUUACUUUGAAAAAAUUAGAGUGUUUCAAGCAGGCUUUAUGCUAUGAAUACAUUAGCAUGGAAUAAUAAUUUAGGACUUCGGUUCUAUUUUGUUGGUUUCUAGGACUGAAGUAAUGAUUGAUAGGGAUAGUUGGGGGUGCUAGUAUUCAGCGGCCAGAGGUGAAAUUCUUGGAUUCGCUGAAGACUAACUUAUGCGAAAGCAUU